UACGGAAGGAGCAGUGGGGAAUAUUGCACAAUGGGCGCAAGCCUGAUGCAGCCAUGCCGCGUGUAUGAAGAAGGCCUUCGGGUUGUAAAGUACUUUCAGUCGUGAGGAAGGUGUUAAGGUUAAUAACCUUAGCAAUUGACGUUAGCGACAGAAGAAGCACCGGCUAACUCCGUGCCAGCAGCCGCGGUAAUACGGAGGGUGCGAGCGUUAAUCGGAAUUACUGGGCGUAAAGGGCACGCAGGCGGUUAAUUAAGUUGGAUGUGAAAUCCCCGGGCUUAACCUGGGAAUGGCAUUCAAGACUGGUUAGCUAGAGUCUUGUAGAGGGGGUAGAAUUCCAUGUGUAGCGGUGAAAUGCGUAGAGAUGUGGAGGAAUACCGGUGGCGAAGGCGGCCCCUGGACAAAGACUGACGCUCAUGUGCGAAAGCGUGGGGAGCAAACGAGGGAUUAGAUACC
rnacentral:rRNA from 1 species